GUAACUGUAUUAUUGAUUUCCAAAUAUAAUGUGAAGGGCUAUGGUGUUCAGGACAUUGAAGGGCACUUGUUCUGGGAAACCGGUCUCCAAGCUGCAAAGCUCCUGAAGGAGAAAAACUCUAUUUUCCACCUGCUGGUGUUAAACUCAUCUGCAAACUUUGCAUGGAAGGUUAGCAUUUUUUGAAACAUGAUUUUGGAGGAUAGGUUAUUUUCUCUUUCACCCUUUGCUCUGUUUUAUCCUUUCAGUUGGGAGCAGAGGUUGGUGGUGAUAUUGUUUUGUAUAAUCUUGUUCAGAAUGAAACUUUUCAUUUAUUCAUUUACGACUAAAACACAUUUUUCCAAUAGUUCUUCCAUAUAAUGUUAAGUUUUAGGUAAGGCAUUUGCAGGUCACAAACACACCAUGAUAGUUGCUCAAUAGUCUGUGAAUGGUCGGUUCUAAAUCUUUUUUUUUUUUUUUUCCCUCCCAUUUCAUUAUUGCUUUUAGACAAUGUUAACACCCAUACUUAUUCAAUAACAUUUUCGUAAUUGAUCUGGGACAAUGCCAAUAUCCUUAGAUUUGUAAUAAUUUAGGAUGAUAGAUGCCAGUGUCCUUGACAAUACAUGUGCUGCUCCACUCAAACAUCAUGAGAUAUGUCUGUCAACUUAUUUGUUUUUUCUUUCUUUUUUCCCCCUGUUUUUCUUUUCAAUAAUUUUUUUAAGAAGAAAACAAUUUCUAAGAGAAGCCCUGCAUGUUGGGGUGGAUAGUUGAGUAGAGAAUGACUCCUGUCUCUUCUUGUUUGGUUUCAAUUGGUGAAGUUCUAACUUCUAAAUCAUGAGAGGCACUUACCCUUGGUUACAAACCUCUUAUAAUGUGAGAUUUCUUGUCAUUAUGGUUGAAGGAGCUCAGGACUUGCUCCUUCAUAGUUCAUAUAGACUUAUGAUACUUUAAAAAACACAUUUUGUUACUGAAAUUAUUAUUAUUAUUUUUUCAUAUGAAUAUCAUUUGUGGAAUGGCAAGGGCUUUGUGCUUUGUGUAGUAAUGUUUUUGAAAAUAGUUCUCAUGAAAAGUUCUUAAGACAAUUCAGAACAAUUUUUUUGACUUAAUCCGAAUUAAGAAAUGAUUAAUUCAGGUCUAAUUCAAUCUUAUUUUUCUAAGAUCGAGUUGAAUUCAAGUUGAGCGGGAUUCAAGUUAAACUCAAGUUGACAAGGUUAUAUGAUUUAAAUUCUAUUCAUAGUGUUGUUUAAGAACUAGGCCAAUUAAAUUCUAUUUAUAGUGUUGUUUAAGAACUAGGCCAACCCAUACAAAUAGCACAUUUAUACAGAACAUUUUUAUUUUAAAAACGAAAAAAGAAAAAAGAAAAAAACAAAGGAAAAUGGAUGAGGUGUAUCCAAACGUACAAACUUACCCUUUCUUACUUUCAAUGGAUGAACCAUUUUUCCUUCGCAAGGGACCUUUCCACGAAGAUCAUAGCCUUACACAAACUGGACCACAAUUUUGUCACAAAAUAGGGGCAGCAAAGGUGAGAUGAGAUCCCAGAAGUUAAAAGAUAGAGCACUCCGCCGAGAUGAGAUCCCAGAAGUUAAAAGAUAGAGUACUCCGCCGAAAUUGCCCAUCCCUGCCGGAGUACUGAUGCUUGUCUGUCUUCCAUCAUUUCUCACAAACCCCUUCCCAUCUCUCCAUUCUAUAAUCCAUGGCCGUGACUCCUUCGGUGCAGUACCUGGGUACCACCAUCGGCUCAUCUGACCCUCCUUCGCUACCCCAAUUAAAUUCAAAUGGUCUAGCUACAGGACCACCAACCCAUCACCCGUUCACCACCUCAGCACGCAUGGGGCCAUUUUUCAUUCCAAUAUCACGUCAUUCUCUACUGUUUUUUUAUCUCCAUAUUGUCAAUUCACUCUUCCUUUUUCUCUCUCUGUUGUCGAAUAAGUGUUCUUUUGCGUUACCCGUCUUCUCCUUUUCAGUGGAGUACACGUGGAGAUCAUCUGACCCUUGGGUUUGUCUUGGCUGAAGAACGUGGCACUAGGUGGUAUUUUGCUAUCAGUGUCAGUAACUACACUUUGUUUUUUG
rnacentral:lncRNA from 1 species